CGAUUGUACUAUCUCAAGGGAAGUAUUAAGGUUUUUCUGAUCCAUCUUUCUCCUUUUCUGGGCCUCCAGUGUGCUAGUCCUACAGAACGCAGGGACCAAUUUCAUCUCCUGUGACUAUUUUUAAGAGUAAAAUACCACCUGACUUGGUGUGGGGUACUUUAGUGUGCUGAGAUUAGAAAAGUAGCUGGCAGAGGCACUGUGAGAAGGAACUGAAGGACACAGCAGAAGUCCUGAAGCUUGUGUACGUCCUCACAUGUCUUGCCAAGCAUCCUGUCAGAGGGAGAAGGGAUUUUGUUGACUCUCUACUCUCCUCCUCUCCAGAUGCUCUGUGGUUCUUGUCAUCUGUGCCUUCUGCAACCUCCAUGCCCAUAGUAUCAUCACAGAAGCAGUGUUUAUCCUCAAGGAGAAGGAAUUAUUUUUUUUAGGGGAUACGAAAGCUGCAUAGAUCUUUUCUUACUUUACCACCUCAGUGGGUCUCAGGCAUAGAUUUCUGAACUCUGCUGAGAUUUGCCUGAGGGACAGAUGGAAGAAUGCAGAGGCCACCUUAGCAGUCUUCAAGAAGGUAAAUUAAAUCUUAGAUUGAACUUAAUCAUAUCAUUAUGAGUAAUGGUAAACUUCCCCUUUACUUCUCCUUUACAAACUUCCCCAAUGGAGCUCAUUGUGAAACCUGCCAUAACUUCUGUCUCCCAGCAGUUUUGUUCCAAGUCUUUUUAGAUGGGUGAAACAAAUUUCAGUGAUUGGUGUACAGUAUAACUGUUGAGAGACUUGUUCUUUCUUACCAUUAUAUUGUCUCAGGCAAAAUAUAUAAAACACAAUAUUUAUAAAUUACCACUGGUAGCAGCAGCUUCACUAUGGUAGAAACAUUCUUGCUUCAGAAUAAAUAUAUUAGAUGACGCUGAUAAGGCCAAAACCUAAGUACUGUAUGAAUCUGAAUUAUUGUUUUCCUUGUGAAUGAAGACAUCACCAUAGCAUGAAGCAGUGGGUUUCACUGGCCUUAGGAGCUUUUGUGAUUCCAACUCCAAAAUCUUUCUCUAACCUGUUUGUUUUUCAGGUUUUCUUCAGCACAAAGUUUUAGGAGUAUAUAAUUCCUAUGUUGCAUAUAUAGAACACAUCAUAUAAAACUUUCGUUUUUAAAUAUUGUCAGGAAAAGCAAGCACGACCUCCCUGUGACAAAGGAAAAUGCAUAUGUAGUUAUUUGUGUGCUUUGAAGAGCUGCUCAGUAGAGUUGCUGGAUCAAAGGCAGUUCAAGGUAAGAAUUGGUUGUAGCAAAUACGGAACUGAUAGUUUAGAAUUUCAAGCUGGAGAAAUUUCCUCUGUGAAAAGCAUUUUAAAAUUAAUUAACAAGAAAAUUUCGUUACCACCACUGAAGGAGAAUGGCACUGUUGGCAAACCUCCGGGCCUCACUAUUACAAACGUAGAAGCAGAAGUUGGGGUGUUCUUUUAGGAAUUACAAUUACACCUGUCGUGUGUAAAUUACAGCACAUUGUCAAAUGAGUAAUAGUGGAUUGGUUAAAAACCUGGAAUAAAUCCAAUGUACCAAUGGCUUUCUGUCAUCUGUCAAGUCACUUAAAGAGGAAUUUUGCGAAGUUCUGCCUGGGGUCUGGUUCUGUUCAAAAUUUUAUUAAUAGCUUGAAUAGAUGAA